rnacentral:sRNA from 1 species
CCGCCCGGCACCGCCCGCCGAACCGUGGCGCAGGCCAAUAUCCGCCGGUUCGGCGGGGCUGCGGUCCUUGCCCGGAUUUUGGGCAGCGUGCACCAGCAGGCGACAAAUCGGCAGGAAUCGCUGGCGGAAAAGCCCGCUCCGUCA